UACGUAGGGGGCAAGCGUUGUCCGGAAUCAUUGGGCGUAAAGAGCGCGUAGGCGGCCCUGUAAGUCCGCUGUGAAAGUCAAGGGCUCAACCCUUGGAUGCCGGUGGAUACUGCAGGGCUAGAGUCCGGAAGAGGCGAGUGGAAUUCCUGGUGUAGCGGUGAAAUGCGCAGAUAUCAGGAGGAACACCGAUGGCGAAGGCAGCUCGCUGGGACGUUACUGACACUGAGGCGCGAAAGCGUGGGGAGCGAACAGG
rnacentral:rRNA from 1 species